AAACAUAAAAAAUGACAUCUAUGAUAGAGUUGUUAUGAGAAAAUAUCUGCCUAAAGCACUGAGCUCAGUGCAGUGUUACAGUAAGUGGUUAAUAAACAAAUUAUUAAUGUCAUGAUUGAUUUAAUCAUUUUCAGAAGCUUUUGCAUCUAUGACCUCAUUUCCUCUGCAUAUUAACCCAAGAAAUUGAGAGAUCUGAUCAGAAGUAGAUCUGGUAAAAUUAAAGCACUCAAUGAGUGGUUGCUUCUGGCAUCACUAUCACCAUUCCCAUCAUCACCAUCAUCAUCAACUUUGUCAUUAUCACCAUCACAAUCAUCACCACCACCACCACCAUCAUCACCAGCUUCAUCAUCAGCAUCAUCAUAAGAAUCAGAUCAUCACCACGAUUACUUUUGCCACAAUCAUCAUGAGCAUCACCAACACCAUGAUUGCUAUCACUACCACCAGUGUCCCAUUGUUGUUACCAUCAUGAUCAUCAUUAUCACCAUUGCCUUCAUCACAAUCUCCACCACCAGCAUCAUCACUAAUAUAAGAUUUCUUUUAGAUUAUCCACCUUUUUGUGUAAAAAGUAAAGUAGAGGUUUCUCUUUUCUUCCCUGUCUAAUUAGGUAUAAAUAGUAACUUCUCUUAGAAGCAAAAUUUAUUCAAAGACCUGUGCUAACAUUCUUAGAUAUCUGCUAGCCAUAAUAAAGAAAUCAAUGUGCUUUGUGUUCUUAGCUCCCACAAUUUAGCCUAAAUAUUUGCCCUGGCAUGCUUAUGCUGGUCCAAACAAGCAUUAGGUCAUAGCCUGUUCCUCUUCCUUAUUUGGAGGGUUUUCACCUUUCCCAGCAUUCCAUAAGUUACUUCCUCCUUCCUUUGUUCUCCUCUGCCUUUGCCUCUUUAGAAAGUUCUAAGCUGCUAGCCAAUCAGGACAAAUACAGAAUGUGAGGUUCCAUUCCAGCCAAUGGAAACCGGACACAGCAGUAGGGUGGACGUGUCAGGUGCAGAUCAUAUUUUCUGCUUAGAGCAGAUUCCUUCCUGGGCAGACAUUGAGCACACAGCCAGCUGCAGUGGGCACCAGAGACAUUGCGUCCUUUCUACUCUUCAUGUCCUGAUCCCAGUGAUAAUCUUUGAGGCCCCAGUCGGUGGUUCUUUUUUUUUUU
rnacentral:lncRNA from 1 species